GCUCCCUUCGUCUAGUGGUCUAGGACACGGCCCUCUCAAGGCUGGAACACGAGUUCGAACCUCGUAGGGAGCACCA
rnacentral:tRNA from 2 species